rnacentral:rRNA from 1 species
GACGAACGCUGGCGGCGUGCUUAACACAUGCAAGUCGAGCGGUAAGGCCCUUUCGGGGGUACACGAGCGGCGAACGGGUGCGUAACACGUGAGCAACCUACCCAGGUGUGGGGGAUAGCCGUCCCAACGGACGGGUAAUACCGCAUACGCUCGACACGAGGCAUUUCGAGUCGAGGAAACCUUCGGGGCACCAUGAGGGGCUCGCGGCCUAUCAGCUAGUUGGCGAGGUAACGGCUCACCAAGGCACGACGGGUAGCUGGUCUGAGAGGAUGACCAGCCACAUUGGGACUGAGAAACGGCCCAGACUCCUACGGGAGGCAGCAGUGGGGAAUCUUGCGCAAUGGCCUAACGGCUGACGCAGCGACGCCGCGUGAGGGAUGACGCUCUUCGGAGUGUAAACCUCUUUUGCCUGGAACGAAUUGCCACCAUCAGGUGGCUUGACGGUACCGGGUGAAUAAGCACCGGCUAACUCCGUGCCAGCAGCCGCCGUAAU